UUAAGCGACUAAGCGUACACGGUGGAUGCCCUGGCAGUCAGAGGCGAUGAAGGACGUGCUAAUCUGCGAUAAGCGUCGGUAAGGUGAUAUGAACCGUUAUAACCGGCGAUUUCCGAAUGGGGAAACCCAGUGUGAUUCGUCACACUAUCAUUAACUGAAUCCAUAGGUUAAUGAGGCGAACCGGGGGAACUGAAACAUCUAAGUACCCCGAGGAAAAGAAAUCAACCGAGAUUCCCCCAGUAGCGGCGAGCGAACGGGGAGCAGCCCAGAGCCUGAAUCAGUGUGUGUGUUAGUGGAAGCGUCUGGAAAGGCGCGCGAUACAGGGUGACAGCCCCGUACACAAAAAUGCACAUACUGUGAGCUCGAUGAGUAGGGCGGGACACGUGGUAUCCUGUCUGAAUAUGGGGGGACCAUCCUCCAAGGCUAAAUACUCCUGACUGACCGAUAGUGAACCAGUACCGUGAGGGAAAGGCGAAAAGAACCCCGGCGAGGGGAGUGAAAAAGAACCUGAAACCGUGUACGUACAAGCAGUGGGAGCACGCUUAGGCGUGUGACUGCGUACCUUUUGUAUAAUGGGUCAGCGACUUAUAUUCUGUAGCAAGGUUAACCGAAUAGGGGAGCCGAAGGGAAACCGAGUCUUAACUGGGCGUUAAGUUGCAGGGUAUAGACCCGAAACCCGGUGAUCUAGCCAUGGGCAGGUUGAAGGUUGGGUAACACUAACUGGAGGACCGAACCGACUAAUGUUGAAAAAUUAGCGGAUGACUUGUGGCUGGGGGUGAAAGGCCAAUCAAACCGGGAGAUAGCUGGUUCUCCCCGAAAGCUAUUUAGGUAGCGCCUCGUGAAUUCAUCUCCGGGGGUAGAGCACUGUUUCGGCAAGGGGGUCAUCCCGACUUACCAACCCGAUGCAAACUACGAAUACCGGAGAAUGUUAUCACGGGAGACACACGGCGGGUGCUAACGUCCGUCGUGAAGAGGGAAACAACCCAGACCGCCAGCUAAGGUCCCAAAGUCAUGGUUAAGUGGGAAACGAUGUGGGAAGGCCCAGACAGCCAGGAUGUUGGCUUAGAAGCAGCCAUCAUUUAAAGAAAGCGUAAUAGCUCACUGGUCGAGUCGGCCUGCGCGGAAGAUGUAACGGGGCUAAACCAUGCACCGAAGCUGCGGCAGCGACGCUGAUGCGUUGUUGGGUAGGGGAGCGUUCUGUAAGCCUGCGAAGGUGUGCUGUGAGGCAUGCUGGAGGUAUCAGAAGUGCGAAUGCUGACAUAAGUAACGAUAAAGCGGGUGAAAAGCCCGCUCGCCGGAAGACCAAGGGUUCCUGUCCAACGUUAAUCGGGGCAGGGUGAGUCGACCCCUAAGGCGAGGCCGAAAGGCGUAGUCGAUGGGAAACAGGUUAAUAUUCCUGUACUUGGUGUUACUGCGAAGGGGGGACGGAGAAGGCUAUGUUGGCCGGGCGACGGUUGUCCCGGUUUAAGCGUGUAGGCUGGUUUUCCAGGCAAAUCCGGAAAAUCAAGGCUGAGGCGUGAUGACGAGGCACUACGGUGCUGAAGCAACAAAUGCCCUGCUUCCAGGAAAAGCCUCUAAGCAUCAGGUAACAUCAAAUCGUACCCCAAACCGACACAGGUGGUCAGGUAGAGAAUACCAAGGCGCUUGAGAGAACUCGGGUGAAGGAACUAGGCAAAAUGGUGCCGUAACUUCGGGAGAAGGCACGCUGAUAUGUAGGUGAAGCGACUUGCUCGUGGAGCUGAAAUCAGUCGAAGAUACCAGCUGGCUGCAACUGUUUAUUAAAAACACAGCACUGUGCAAACACGAAAGUGGACGUAUACGGUGUGACGCCUGCCCGGUGCCGGAAGGUUAAUUGAUGGGGUUAGCGCAAGCGAAGCUCUUGAUCGAAGCCCCGGUAAACGGCGGCCGUAACUAUAACGGUCCUAAGGUAGCGAAAUUCCUUGUCGGGUAAGUUCCGACCUGCACGAAUGGCGUAAUGAUGGCCAGGCUGUCUCCACCCGAGACUCAGUGAAAUUGAACUCGCUGUGAAGAUGCAGUGUACCCGCGGCAAGACGGAAAGACCCCGUGAACCUUUACUAUAGCUUGACACUGAACAUUGAGCCUUGAUGUGUAGGAUAGGUGGGAGGCUUUGAAGUGUGGACGCCAGUCUGCAUGGAGCCGACCUUGAAAUACCACCCUUUAAUGUUUGAUGUUCUAACGUGGACCCGUAAUCCGGGUUGCGGACAGUGUCUGGUGGGUAGUUUGACUGGGGCGGUCUCCUCCUAAAGAGUAACGGAGGAGCACGAAGGUUGGCUAAUCCUGGUCGGACAUCAGGAGGUUAGUGCAAUGGCAUAAGCCAGCUUGACUGCGAGCGUGACGGCGCGAGCAGGUGCGAAAGCAGGUCAUAGUGAUCCGGUGGUUCUGAAUGGAAGGGCCAUCGCUCAACGGAUAAAAGGUACUCCGGGGAUAACAGGCUGAUACCGCCCAAGAGUUCAUAUCGACGGCGGUGUUUGGCACCUCGAUGUCGGCUCAUCACAUCCUGGGGCUGAAGUAGGUCCCAAGGGUAUGGCUGUUCGCCAUUUAAAGUGGUACGCGAGCUGGGUUUAGAACGUCGUGAGACAGUUCGGUCCCUAUCUGCCGUGGGCGCUGGAGAACUGAGGGGGGCUGCUCCUAGUACGAGAGGACCGGAGUGGACGCAUCACUGGUGUUCGGGUUGUCAUGCCAAUGGCACUGCCCGGUAGCUAAAUGCGGAAGAGAUAAGUGCUGAAAGCAUCUAAGCACGAAACUUGCCCCGAGAUGAGUUCUCCCUGACCCUUUAAGGGUCCUGAAGGAACGUUGAAGACGACGACGUUGAUAGGCCGGGUGUGUAAGCGCAGCGAUGCGUUGAGCUAACCGGUACUAAUGAACCGUGAGGCUUAACCUU
rnacentral:rRNA from 1 species